GUUAUAUUCCAUUUAUUAAAGCACCACCUCACGGGUCAACCGAUUUCAGACCAUUCUUUCGUUCAUUGAUCGCGGCGAUGUACAAACUAUCAACCCUUUUGGUUGGCGUCUUCAUCGCUGUUUCUGUAUUGCUGUUGACUUGCCCUCGAGAUACUGAAGCUGCUGCUCCAUGGCCCUAUAAAGGAAAGAGAUCACAGGUGGUUCGUGACAAGAAGAGCAUCUGUCAGACAGCCAGAGCGCUGGGCUGCGACAAAGAAGAAAAUUGGAGGCGACAAGAUCUGGAAGCAGAUGAGAUUUGAUGGCGUCACUAAAGGAAAUAAGCUGAUAGAUAGCAAGGCCAUCUCCAUAAUUUGUUAAGCAAAGAACUAGACUGAGUCCUUUUAGUCAAACAUUUAAAUAAAAGAAGAACUCAUUAGGAGCGAAAUGUUUUGUUCAUUAUA